GCUUUGCUGGCUCAGUCAGCAGAGCAUAUGACUCUUGAUCAUAGGAUUGUGAGUUUGAGCCCCAUGUCCAGCA
rnacentral:tRNA from 1 species